UACGGGGGGGGCAAGCGUUGUUCGGAAUUACGGGGGGUAAAGGGCUCGUAGGUGGCCAACUAAGUCAGACGUGAAAUCCCUCGGCUUAACCGGGGAACUGCGUCUGAUACUGGAUGGCUUGAGUUUGGGAGAGGGACGCGGAAUUCCAGGUGUAGCGGUGAAAUGCGUAGAUAUCUGGAGGAACACCGGUGGCGAAGGCGGCGUCCUGGACCAAUACUGACACUGAGUGAGCGAAAGCCAGGGGAGCAAACGGG
rnacentral:rRNA from 1 species